UUCUUUGAAGGAAGCCAUGUUAUUGAAUAUGCUAGACUGGAAAUGAUCGAUUUGAAAAAGAAAAGCCAUAAUGAAGCACGUGCACAGUAUUUAUCUAUGUUGACCACUAGUUUAGACUGCUUUGGCAAUCUAUCUGGACAGCUUUGCGUUCAAAAGAGAUACGAUAGAUGAUUGAACGCACCCAGUGUGAACGCCGUCCAAAACAUGUGUUAUGUCAAAAUGUUUGAUAGCGCCAUAAGUAAAAUAAAGUACAUUUCAAGAAAAGAAAGAAUUUAAUUUCAAAACAAACCGAGAAGACGAUGUGUUAAAACUUAUCUACAAAAGUGAGCAAGGUUUCGCAAAUUGUCUCAAAUACAUCAGUAUUGUCAAUUUAGAUUCGUCAAAAAAAUCUAUCCCACAAUUCGAUCGACAGUUGGAGGAUGCCCAGAACUUCAGCGUCUAUGUAAGAUUUUCGGGAAUGAAAAUCAAAUUGAAAUCAACUAAAGACUUGACUAUACCGGAAGGAUAUGCGGUAGAGGAACGGGUAAUUGUAUGAACAAAAUUCUAAACUGGAACAUCAAUGUUAAGACGUGGAACUUUUUUCAUCUAAUUACCCGUACCACUACCGCAUACCAGUCCGUUGUGGCCAAGCCUUAAAUCUCGUCGAGAACUUUGCAAAUUUAAAUAUGAUUCACAUUAAAAAAAAAAAAAAACAAAACAAAAACAAUCUAAACUUGACAUUCUGGAGCGCAUUUAAACGCCCAACCUGAAAGCCACACAAAGCCACGUUCGAAAAAUGUAUUCGAUGGUGCAAUCACGUUUCCAAAGCAAUAGAUAGCAUUCCUAAGUCUUUACCAAGAAAUAAAGACGCACAGGCUUAUCUAGGAACCUCAUUUGGAUGGAAUAAGUUAUAAAUAUGUUGCACCAAGAAAACGUUUUCAGUCAAUGGGUAAUUUGAGUGGUGGUGAGAAAACUAUUGCUGCUUUUUCUGUGUAAUUUACAACCUGGUCCAUUUUUGUUGCAUCUAUAAACGAGAUCACAUCACAAUGAACCAUCAAACUAUUGUCAUUUCGCUCAAAGAGAAGUUUUAUGUGCAUGCUGUUGCUUUAUUUGGAAUUUCACCAGCUGUGAGUUCUUAUCGAUGGAACAAAACGUUUCGAUGGAGAAACAAAUUUCAGCCAAGGCGCAAUAACAAUUGCUAAUUAAAAUUAUGUGCGUUUCAAUAAUCCUGCCGAAGCUCAACUUAUACGCUAUGCCUUGGGCAGCAACGAACGAAUCUCGAUGCCACCUUAUAAAACCAAAUUUAAAUGGGCUUAAUAUUAAUGCCAGGAUAAUAUUAAAGUCCAACAAAUCAUUUUUAGAAGGACACGGCCCCGUUUCUCACAAAUGAUGGAUACAAAUGUGGAAAGAAAGCCAAAGUAAACAAAAAAUAAGUUGGCAAACUUGUUCCUAAAGAAAGAAAUCAAUUAAAUCUUUUCUGCAUCCCUGACACAGUAGUGUCUUCUUGCUGUUCAGUUAAAAGUACAAUAUGUUCGCAUCUAAAAAGUACAAGAAAUAGAUGAUUUUUAAAAAUACUAUGGGUGAGGCUAUCCAUGUGUUACGGACUGUAUCAACAACUUCCGUCACAUCAGCAACAUGCACCGCAUCAACUGCACCAUCAGCAACCUUCUCAAAUGAUUCCUCCACAAAAACAUUCCCAACUACCUCCACAGCAUCAGCAGAAUCCUCCAUACCACCAGGGAAUGCAUCUGCAAAACUUCAAUCUACCGACAUUUGGUAUACCGCCCCCGGGCUACGGUGGGUAUCAACCUGCAUGGGAAGAGUACAACCUCCAUGGGGAAUGCAAUGGAAAGAGAUGAAUUCCGAAAACUGAUGGAAGAUGCUCAUCUUAAUGGAAAAUCAUUAUUUAGUGAAUUAAGUCAACGUUAUGGAUCACAACAAAACCAUCGAAAAAGUACGUGAAUGUGAAAGUUUUUUUCAAAGAGUACAUUGUCGAUUUUCUUCUCAAAAAAGAAGAGGAUAAAAUUCAGAAAAAGAAAAAGCAGCCUCAUACUACCACCAUCUUGUUGGGAUGCGUCUGCGAUCUCUUGUGCUAACCUAUAUGCCAUUGUUUAUUGGUGCUUUGAUUCGUCAUGAAGUCGAAAAGAAGGAUAAAUGGAUUCAAGAGUUUUUGCAAUUUGUCUACAGCAAUUGCUGUUCGGUUGAUCCAAGGCAAAGUGAAUUGAGAUCAUCGAUCUUUGCUACAUUAACCAUUGUAGCACCAGAAUAAUUUGUCGCACACACGAGAUCUAUUAGUGAAAUGUUGACUGCUGCUUUAACUGAUAACGAAACCAGUGGAAAUAUGGCUACUCAAGUGAUAUAUAAAAUUUGUAUAACU